rnacentral:lncRNA from 1 species
CGACAACAGCCAGGGGCAGGCUGGACGGUGAGGGGGUGCAGGUGCUGGGACAAGGCCCUGGGGCAGGGCCCCCCAAGGCCCGGCGUGAUCUGGGCCUGGAGCGCGGGGUGCUUUCACUGACCUGCGAGGCAGGCGCUCUGCGGGUGAGGCGGCUGAGGAGCAGAGAGGAGCGCAGCGCACAAGCAGAGCCACCGCCCAGCCUGCUGUCCCAAGGUCUACAACGCGGCAAUGCCACUCGGUCCCGCAGCCAAAGGGGUGGCCUCCCACCGCCGGCAAGGGGGAGGGAUUUUAAAUGGAGUGUCUACUCCUCCCCUUCCUCUCUUUCCUCCCUCCCCUCCUCCCCCCUUCCUGUCCUUGCAGGUUUGCCCACAAGCCACUAGGGGAGGCCGAGCAGCCCCCCAGGCAGCCUGGGGACAGCGGCCGCCAGGAGCCGGGAGCUCACCUCACGCCACUUCUGCAUCGGAGGGUCGUCCUUCUUUGCACGUCUCUUGGUCUCAGCCUACUUUCCACACAGCGUUUCCGCACGAAGGGACAAGGAGUGACGUCACAGCGGAGAAGCCCGGCAGACGCCGCCUGCACCCAGGGACCCAGGUGAGCGUAGGGCGCCUGGGGCGAGGGGCACCUGCCCCCGAGGAGGCGGUGAGAAGCCUACAGCGCGUCGGUCGUAUUUCCGCCCAGAGGGCACGGCCUGACCGGAAUCUUGAGACACAUCAGCCUCGAACUGAGGGACAUUUACCGAAGGCGCCGUCGAGGAGCGGCUGCGGAAGCGCUUCCAGAGGAAGGCGAUGAAGUGAACACGACUAAAGGAGACGUGCCUCUGGGCGGCUGUCCCCCCCACCCAGCCUGUCCCCCAGGCUGAGGCUCAGACUUCUCCCCUCUUUCCAGCCUCUGCCCUCUGCCCGCCCCGCCCCACCAUCCGCAGCCCCGUCGCUCUGGCUCCCCAGGCACCAGGCUCCUGCGAGCCCCGGGCUUCAUCACACGGGCCCUGCUCCCACCGGGGUUCAGGGUUCCCCCUCCCCGAUCCCUUUACCCACAUCCUUCCAACACGUCAAGGCCUGGUUUCCUCACUCCUCAGGAAGCCCCAUCAGACGACCCCGCUGGGCCCCGUCUUCCUCGGCUCCAGGGCGGGGUGGAACGCCCCCAACCCCACGAGUCAGGACAGCAGGGAGGAACCCUGCCUGGCUCAGUACAGGCGUAUAGGGUGUGGGGGUGUUCCAGGGCAGGGAGUGAGCCCCCCCAAGAUGCUGGUGUUGCCCCACGUGAUACAAUGGCCGUCCAGCAGGGGCAGGUGCCCCCAAGCCCUCAGGCCCUAGGCCCCUGCCCCUCGUGCCACAGCGCCCUCUCACCUGCCUGCUCAGCCCCUUUGCUCUGUCAGGCACCCUGGGAGCCCCGCCCAGAACGGUUCAGUAUCUGGUUUCUCUCCGCUGCCCUGGGUGCAACAACUCUGCUAGAGCAUGUCUCUGUCUCCCGGGUCUCGGGAGCUGGACUCGGUCUGCAGAGGCCGAGCUGGCUCCCUGGCUCCGGCUCUGACCUCCCCCAGCCGAGCUGCUGAGGGCCUCUCCAAACAAGGUCACACCCUGGCAACCGAGAGCCAGUCAAGCUCCCUCCAUCAAGACUUUAACUAGAAAAAUAGUGUGCCCAUUUCUCUGUAAUACACCUCUGGGCUUUUUUAUUAUGACUUCAUUUCCCCUUGUAAUAUUGGAACGUCUCUAUAAUUGUAAAAGUGUAAUAGAAUCUAAUAGAAUUUCAUUUGGCGCCCGGAAUGCUCCGUGCCACGACCGCUCAUUCC